rnacentral:miRNA from 1 species
CUCAAGAUCCCGGGGUGGGCUGAUGUUUUUUGAAUUAACACAAACAUCAGCUUACCCCGGGGUUUUGGGUU